UACGUCAUCUGGUUGCGUGCGGUCCUUCUUCACUUUCGCUUGCUGCCGGGAGAGGAGUGGGUGUGCUUUCCAAGCCGUGCACCUUCAUCAAAACAUCAUGUAAAGAUGAAGGAUAACAUUUACUCUCAGGAGAAAACAAACUUAAUAGGAAUUUAAAAGAAAUUAUACAGAAACAGAAUGACCACACUGAAAAACCUUUUUCAGAGUCUGCAUCACUUCUUGAUAUUCUUCAAAUAUAAAACUACCAGAUACCUCUGGAGUCACUGAGAUGUUCUGUUGCAAAUGCUCAUCAGCAGACCAGGCUCUCUGGUACAGAAGAUAGGGACUUUUAUCUCAGUCUUAACAGCUAAGACUGUACUUUGGGAAUCCCAAACCCUGGAGACGAGAGAUGGAAAAAGGAAGACUCCUUUGCUCAGAGACUGUCUACACAAAUUCAAGGCAUACACAUCCAGGAACCCCAAGGGAGUGCACCCAUGAGUGCUGAGGGAGCUGGCAGAAGAGAUUGCCAAGUCAUUCUCUAACAUCUGUGAAAGCUCAUGGAGAAAAGGGGAAGUGCUUGAGGACUAGAGGAAAGCCAGUGUCACUCCAGUCCUCACAAAGGGCAAGAAGGAGGACCUGGAAAACUACAGGCCUGCCAGCCUCUCCUCUGUCUCUGGUAAAAUGAUGGAACAGCUUAUUCUGGAUGUCAUCUCCAAGUAGGUGGAAGAAAAGAUCGUUAUUAGGAGUAGUCAUCAAAAUGGAUUCAUCAAGGGGAAAUCAUGUUUGACCGAUCUGGCAACCUUCUACUAUGUCAUGACCAGUUGAGUAGAUAAGGGGAGAACAAUGGAUACUGUGUACUUUGACUUCAUUGAGUCUUUUGACUCUGUCUCCUAUAACAUCCUAGUGGGUAACUUUUAAGAGAUGUGGGACAGACAAGAAAACAGUGAGGUGGAUUGAGAACUGUUUGACAGGCAGAGCUCAGAGGGUUCUGAUCAGUGGCACAGUCUACGUGGAGGCAUAUAACUAGAGCUGUUUUCCAAGGGUCAGUACUAGGCCUGGUCUUGUUCAACAUCUUCAUCAGUGACCUGGGUUAGAGUUCACUCCUAGCAAGUUUCCUGAUAAUUUGAAGCUGGGAGGAGCAGCUGAGACAUGAGAAGGCUGUGCUGCCCUUCAGCAAGACCUGGACAGGCUGGAGAGUUGGGAGGAGAGAAACCUGAUGAACUUCAAUAAGAGCAGGUGUAGAGUCUUGUACUCAGAGAGGAGUAACCAUACACAUCAGUACAGACUAGGGGCCUGUUAGAGAGGAGCCCUGCAGAGAAAGACCUGGGUGUUGUGAUGACAACAGACUGGCUGUAAGCCAACAGUGUACCCUCGUGGCCAAAAAUAUCACUAACAUUCCAUGGUGCAUUGAAAAGACGGUGACCAUCCGUGUGGGUUAAAGAGGUGAUCCUCUCCCUCUACUCCUUUCUGUUCUGGUUUGGCCACAUCUAGAGCCAUGUGUAUAGAUGAGGGCUCCUCAAUUCAAGAACAUCAGGGAACUAUUAUAUGGAGAUACACAGAGGAUUAACAAGAAUAGUUAGGAGCCUGGAACAUCUCUAUCAGUGAGGAAAGGCUGAGAGAUCUGGGACUAUUAUUCUUGAGAAGACUGAGAAAUCUUUUAAACACUGAAAAAUAACUAAAGGGCAGGUAUUAAGAGGAUAGGGCCAGGCUCUUGUCAGUGAUUCACGGCAACAGAAGAGGGAACAACAGGCACACACUGAAACAAAGGAAGUUUUGUCUAAAUGUGAAAAGGAACUACUUUACAGAGUGACAGAGCACUGGAGCAAGAUGCCCAGACAUGCUGCGGAACCUUCUUCUCUGGAGAUAUUCAAAACCCACAUUCAUUUGCUUUCCUAUGCAACCUACAGUGGAAACCUGCUUUAGCAGGUAGUCAGACUAGGUGGUUUCCAGAGGUCCCUUUCAACCCCUAUGAUUUUGUUUGUGUGAUUCUGUGUUAACAGAGCCUGGUGUAAGUUCUCCACCCAAGCUUACCUGUAACUACAGUGUUUAUUAAUAUGAAUAGUAAAGAGACUGUAAGGGGAAGUGAUAAUGACUGUCCCGCCUUGUCUUGUGUGUGCUUCAGAUCAGACCACUAGAGAACAAGCAAAUCUUUUGACUGCAGUUUACUGCGUAGCCAGAAAACUAUUUAUUCACCUAGUGUGUACCAAAACCAGUACACAAAGUAAAGAGUAGAGAACAGCUGUGGAAACAUUAUCUUCACCUGCAGUGUUAAAAUAUCCCGUAUGAGAUUAGCAUAUGGAAAGGAUAUCUGGUGUAGGUGAAAAGUUUUUAUCUGUAUAAUUGGAGAAUUCCAUAACAUAACUCAUCAGUUAUUUUUUUUUCCAGUAGAUCCCAGACUGAAUUUUUAUUUUUAUCCUAUCCAAAAUGGACUCCACUAAUAACUUAGUCCUUUGCAUUCAAGGCAUAUGGAAAUCUGCUUCAAUUUAUUUUCACCAAAUCAAAUAAACUGAUAUUAAUCAUGGUAAAUUUGACAGUUAUAGUUCUACAACGGUCUGUGAAAUACUCUUUGAAUAGAAAUUACAUCAGAGAUAAUGAUAAUACAUUAUUUUAAAUGUCUGCCAUCAUCAUUAUUAAUUUUGUAUCUAUUGUCAUGACAAUAAUGAUAAUGAGCUCUUUGGAGAUUUAGGUGGAUAUUAAAUUAUUUCCCUAGAUGUUCACAGUAUAAUGGAGGAUUCAGAAGUAAA
ensembl:lncRNA